UAUUCCAUAUCAUUCCUUUCCAUAACACAUUAUAUAAAAAGGCACAGAUAAGAGAGUUCGCUCUCUUCUCUCUUCCAGUGGCUGAAGAUGACAGGUCCCUCUCGCAGAUGGUUUUGCUUGUAUAGGCCAAAGCCUGCCUGCUCCGACCUGCCGUUAUCUCCAGUCUCUCCGGGAGGCAUGGGAGGAGUUGGCUGCUGCCUUGCACAGCUCUGCUGUCCCGCUCAGGGAAGUAUUCAAUUUGUUUUUAUAUUUAUUCAUGAGCUCUCUAUUAACGGGUGUAUUUGGGAGGUAUUUGUUUUUAGGUUUCUUUUUAUCCCUGUUUUCCCCCUCCCUUUUCCCUUUUCCCCCCCUCGGGAGCUCCCUGUUGUGUAUAAUAUAUUCAAAUUGUAUAUGUAACUGUAAAUAUAUGUUAUAUAUAUAUAUAUAUUUGAUAUAAUCCCAUUUCGUUCGAACUUCUUUCAGUUUUUUUUCCCUGUGGUUCGUUGUUUUUUUUUUUCCUCGCUUGAGGAGAGCGGGAGGGGGGAGGAGACAGCUUGGACUUGGCAGGAGAGCCAGGCCAAACUGAUACAAACCUUUAUGGGACCUAUGGGAUCUACCUCAUGACUCUGUUCUGAUCCUAACCAUUUAGACAACAACCUGGCACUAUGCUUUUCCUAGAAGCUUGUAAGUGCUAAGCCAUGGCUGGACCAGCUGGAUCACGAAGCCAUGCACUUUGCAAGCUCAUCAGGAAAACGACUGAUCUGUUCCACCAGGGAACGUGCCCACGUGGACGUGGCUUAAAGACAACUGUUGUAUUGGGCCAGAAAAUCACCUCGGAGCCUGUGAGGAGGGAGCGAGCUUUUCCAGACUACCAGGGAUACGCUGCAAAGGCUGCCUCUGGUGGACAUUAAACAAGAGCCCAUUUCUGGGGGGGGGGAGUUGCUGCUGCUUCAAGACAUUCUCAGUAAACCUCUCCAGAAGAUAUGGAGGAAGUAGUAUAGAUUCGCUCAUGACACAGUCAGGGAAGUUUAUGACCAGUAGGGUUACCUGAGUAACCCUAAAAAAAGCAGAUCCUCAGAGACCAUUUCGGAAGUUCAACGUCUGUGGACAGAGUGAGGGAGAAAAAGAUGACUGUCAGGAGCUAAUUGCUCCGGAUGUACUAUACAUAUAGGUCAUGUUACAGGCCAGGACUGGGAAGAUGCAUAGUCUAGCUCUGAAUGAAUUCCCAUUUGUACUUAGUUUAAUUAUGCAGUAUUAGUUUAUUAUCAAUAAACAAUGACAUGCCAGUAUAAAAGCCUUUUUUCCCCCCUAAUUUGAAGACAAUCUCAGCAAUAUUAGCACUAAUGAUUACAUCUUUGAAGCUCAAUGCAACCUGGAGAGGUGCUAGAGGCUGCCUUUCUCUCUGAAGGAUGCAUUGCAGGUUCCCACUCCGUGCUCAUCCAUACUCUCCAAAAGCAUGGGGCGAGUGUGGCAUCCCUGGGUGCAUGUCUUGGUGUGGCAUUUCACUGGGGGAGUGUUUGUGCAGGGAGUUGUGGAGCAGAGGCAGCACUUUAGGCCACAGAGCCUGUCCUUCCUUUAAACCUUUUAAAAUGCACAGAAGCCACAAGGCUCCUAGAAGGGCAAAGCAGCUUAUAGAAAGCAAUUGCAGAGAUGAGAGCAUCCUCAAAAGCUGGGCACUCCCUGAGGUAUUCCUCUGCCCUCGGCUCCAAAGUGCUGGAGGGAAGAGCCAGCCCAAGCAGCCUCCACUCAGCCGGUCACCCUUACUAUCAUCAUUUCUUGUUCAGUGCUUUUACUAAACUUUCCAAGUCUCUCUGACAUAAAAAACAAUUGACCUUUACAGUUGUAUUUGAGCCAGCUACACUGCCAUCAGCUCUUGCUGGUCCUCACUACUCUGUUGAUGUUUGCUUAAUGGCAUGUGAAUUAAUUUGUUGGAAGCUGACACUUUGCUGCAGGAUUAGUUAGAGAGACUAACACAGGGCUGGUGCAGGGAAUUUAAGAUGCAGAGCAUCUUUUCGAGUUAAAGAAAAAAAGGAGGCAAAUUCCAAUUCUUCUGGAAAUCUUCACUUUUAGGAUGCUAGAACUGAGUAAUGAAUGAGCCGAAGUACAGAAUUAAAAUAAACUCAAUUCCAGCUAUUUAAAGGCUCAGCAAUUCCUUCCAGGCAAAAAACAAGUAGCUAUUGUGUGCUGGCACUGGGAAGGCUGGGGGAAGGCAGCGUUUCCCACAGGCAAAUUAGGAGUGGGAAAACCAGAACAAACCUCACAAACCUCCAAAGCCCGACUAAGGAACACAAGACAUUUUCUGUUCAACAUGAUUUGUGUUGUCAUUAGGUGGGUUUAAUGGGGCUUUAUUCUAAUUCUAUGAGGAAAGCCCUGGCUCUGCUUGAGCUAACAGUAUUGACCGUUCAGACCUGGGAAACAUGAGGGAGCCAGCUGAAACCGCAUUCACCAUGUCACUCAGGCACUCACUGGGAACAGUGGGUCUCCUCUGCCCCCACCUCUUCCUGCUGCGGGAGUCUGGACACGUUUCACUGGAGCCUGAUAAAAACCUGUCUGUGCCCUGUUUGGCCAGGGGGUGUCUGAUUCACGUCACUUACCUCACUGCAAAGGAAGGCCCAUAUUGACCAUCAGCCACGCUGGGACCACACCGGAACUCCACAAAAGGUGCAUUUUAACCCCACCCUGCUACUGCCCCAGUCACCUGAGGCAGAAGACAAGGCUGGCAUCAUGGAGGCAGGAAAGGCUUUUCUCAUCUGAGAUGGCUUGAACCCCUUCCUACCCCUCCACUCAACCUAUGGUGAGCCCCCAGCAGGAACAGUUCAGCAACACAGUCCUGGCUUCUUGAAUUCCAGUAUUUGGGCGCCUUGUUUCAGGCUCUGUAAAGGUGAAAGGGGAUGAAGAGUUAAGAAAGGCUCCUUAAAAGGAAAUCAUGAGUUGAAACCCAUGAACAGCUCCUGCGGGGCGUGCAUGAAGUCCCUCUCCUUCACCUUUGCCUCAUUCAGGAGAUUCCUUUCACACAACCACACAGGCUAGAAGCAGCACAUCAGGUAACCAGCAAGUGCAGCAAACUUUCUGCUUUCAGAAUUCCAGGAUCGAGACACCACUUUGCAAAGACUAUGAGGACUGCUGGCCACCCAUCUUCCACCUGCAAAAGGAGCGGUGUUACCUUAGUACUACUUGUCCCAGGCUGCUGCUCAGAGAUGGACAGGGAUGGAGAGCCACUCUGGUGUGAGCCAUGUCCCUUUCUAAGGAGACAUGGAGAUAGAUGCAGCCCUGUCACCCCCAAAGCAAGCUAAAACCACACUAGUGCAAGAUCUAGCAUUCCUUUAUGGCCAGAUCCUAUUUUUAGUUUGCUGCACCCUGAUUUUACUAGACCAGAUCAUGGGAGAAAUACAGGACUCCUACUCUAGCCCAACAGGAACGGGAGUUGCCAGUGGAGCACAGCUGCUUUUCCAAACAACUGCCAUGGCCUCCCUGACAAGUUGUUACAUUGACAAGUUUGAAGGGUUUUUUUAUGAUCUGAUUUAGAUCAAACCACAGGGUAUCAGAGCAAGUCAGGAACUGUCCACUAGCCAUUUUCAUUGCACUGUAUGAAGUACUGUGGAAGAAUAUAUUUAUUUUGGGGGUGUGAUAAAACUAAGGUGCCUUUAGCCACAAAAAACACCUUUGCCUGUUGAGAAGCUGUUCCAAUGACAAAUCUGUCAUGUACUUCUGCGCACCUGAAGAAA